UGGUGGAGUGAUUUGUCUGCUUAAUUGCGAUAACGAACGAGACCUUAGCUUUUAUUUGCGCAGCUUAACAAUUUUGUUGGGUUUGCGCCAUAAAAGGACUAUCGAAUUCAAGUCGAUGGAAGUUUGAGGCAAUAACA
rnacentral:rRNA from 1 species